CAAGGUCUCCGUUGGUGAACCAGCGGAGGGAUCAUUACUGAGUUACCGCUCUAUAACCCUUUGUGAACAUACCUACAACUGUUGCUUCGGCGGGUAGGCCGUCCCCUGAAAAGGACGCCUCCCGGCCCGGACCGGACCCCCCGCGGGACCGGACCCGGCGCCCGCCGGAGGAUAACCAAACUCUAUUGUAACGACGUUUCUUCUGAGUGGCAUAAGCAAAAUAAUCAAAACUUUUAACAACGGAUCUCUUGGUUCUGGCAUCGAUGAAGAACGCAGCGAAAUGCGAUAAGUAAUGUGAAUUGCAGAAUUCAGUGAAUCAUCGAAUCUUUGAACGCACAUUGCGCCCGCCAGCAUUCUGGCGGGCAUGCCUGUUCGAGCGUCAUUUCAACCCUCAAGCUCUGCUUGGUGUUGGGGCUCUACGGUCGACGUAGGCCCUCAAAGGUAGUGGCGGACCCUCCCGGAGCCUCCUUUGCGUAGUAACAUUUCGUCUCGCACUGGGAUCCGGAGGGACUCUUGCCGUAAAACCCCCAAUUUCCAAAGGUGACCUC
rnacentral:rRNA from 1 species